rnacentral:lncRNA from 1 species
AAGUCAGGGCCGCGGCGCUUCUGGUCCCGGAGACUUGGGGCUCCCGGGCUUCUGAGCGGCUCGGGUUCCGCGCUGCCGGCAGGGCUUGGGGGCGCCUUAGAGCCGGACCCCGUUUUUUCAGGAAAGGGCGCUGCGACCACCCCCGUCCCGGGCCUCAGCCCCUCUGCUGCAGACCCUCGGGAUCGUCGCUGGUAGGAGCUCUGUCCCCCGUGUCUGUGUCCAGGACUCCCGAAGCGCCGCGCCUAGGAACCCCCUAGCGCUGGGAGCCCGGCCCUGCUCGACCACGGGCUUUGGGCUGGAGGCGUCAUCGUCGCCACAGCGAACGCUUAUUUGGCACCGAGUGUCCGCCAGGCAUCGCUCUAAGCGCUUUAUACCCAUAACUCAUUUCAUCUCAGCCACCCGGUUCAGUAGAAGCGUUUCAUCCGCGUUUUACAGACGUGUGCAGGAAAGAUUCUGAAGCUCGGCGGAGAGGGGUGUGUGAGUGGACACCAGUGAAGUAACGGUUUUUGUGUUAACGAUGAUUUCUGUUUUCCUCUGCUGCCCUGUAAUGGCAGGAACUCGGAUAGUCUGGUCUUCAGACCAGGAGGACUCCCAGGAGAGAACGGAGAGCCAGCGUGCUGUGUGUCACGGUCCCUGGAUGAACGUUUGUGGAACUGGAUUGAAUUAAACAAGACGUGCAAAGCAAGUGGUUCACGAGAUUUGAUUGCUGUAGGGACCCCGUGGGUGUGGAAUCAGACGGUAUUGGUCCUUUCAUGACUGGCUUAUUUCACAGAACCCGAUGCCGUCGAGGUCCAUCCAUGCUGAGAUAUUUAUGGAGCAUCCCCAGCUGCUGGAUGCUGGGACCCACCAGUGGGCAAGAGGGCCGUGCCCACCCCUUCCUGGAAGAGACACUCACUCAGUAAAUGCAGAGAUUCAGUGUUGGGGUAACCCCCGCACACAGCCCUGAGGGAGGAAGCCCGGUGAUUUGAUCGGAUUUGCUUUUCUCUUCCGCCUCGGAUUCCAUCCAAGCCCUGGAAGGACCUCUGACCUGCUCCGUGGCUGGUUCUAGGCCCCACUCAAGCCUCCUCCUCCAGGAAGCCUUCCCAGUCCUGGGCAUCUGUAGCCACCUCGGUGUUUCUCACCUGGGGCCUGGGACGUCUCCCAUUCUGAACUGCCGUGUUUUGGGUUUACUGUUCUCUGGCUUUUGGUCCCAGCCGGACGGUGGCCUCUUGUGUUCAGGGACAAGGCGAGGAGCAUCCAUGCACCCCCACAGUACCCAGGCUGGGUCUGUGCCCGCCAGGCCCCCGGCAAAGCUUGGAUGAUCCGGGCUGGGCUGUUCUGCUGCUGCUCUCCUGCUGCUGGCCUCGCUGUAUCAGCUGGUGGCCAUCGCACCUCCUGCACCCGUCAUCCCGCCCUGCACGCCCCCACCACGCGGAUGAGCUCCCUGGGGAGUUAAUGGCUAAUGGAGUCUCCUCUCUUGUCAAAUGCAGCCAUCAUCCGCUGGUGCUUUAAGGGACCCUCUCCUGUCCCCACCCUAUUCUCAGGUGGCUCCUACCGACACCACCUAAUGGUGAACCCCAACACGAGGACACAGGCAGUGCCCUCCCAGGACCACUGUGGGUGCCACCGGGCACGACUUCCUAAACACCCACAGAGCAAAAACCUGGAAAUUCAGCCGAGGCACUGGGACCCCAACCUCUCCCAGAGCGGCCCCAGCUCCACGGCGUCUGCAUGGCUCUGGCCGUGAGCAGAGCAGCCCCGACCACCAUCCUGACCCAGGGGCCGGAGCGCCACUGCGGAUCUCACCACCACACAAGCCAGACCUGCUAGGAAGCCCUUCCCGGCCACCAGCUCUCGGGCCGAUGCACACAACAGGGCCUUUUGAAUUCCCUGAGGUUAAGGUUCCCCUUGAGUCUCCUGGGCUACAAGCAAAUCCCCCGAGGGGAGGAGUCCAGGCUGACACAGCCUCCUGCACCCCUGCCUUGGGAGGCCACACCUCGUUUGCCUCUAGAACCGACGACUGGGGAGCACCGUUUGCAGAGUUCUCUCUCUCUGGAACGGUGAAGGAAUCUGAAGCCCAGAGAGGGAAAGCAAUGCCUCCUGGGUCACACAGCCCAUCAGGGGCAGGGCAGGGACGAACGGCGAGAAAAGGACCAGCGCGAGAGGAGAUCCCCAGCAGUGAUUCCUCAGCCAAGCCCAGCGUCUACCCACAUCCACACCUCACAGCCACCCGACGGGGAGGGCACCACUGCCCCUUUUCAAAGGUGAGAAAACGGAGGCUCAGAGAGGUUCAGCAACUUCUCCCACAGCUACUUCGUUGUAGAACUGCAGUUCCAGGUGUCCCCGAGCUCUCCCCUCCUGAGCCAUCUGCUCCUGCCCUCCUAUCCGAGCCCCGGCCCUCCCAGUCAAAGGCGGGUAGUGGCUGUUCAGAAGCCUUGGGGCUAGUCAAUCCCAGCUGUUUCGGACCAGGGCCCCCCCAGGAGGAGACCCUGAAGGAUGCAGUUGAGAAUAUGUGCUUUCUUUGGUAGGUGAUCUCAGGAAUUGCAGGAAAAGAGGGGGAGCGUGUUAGUGUGGGCUCUCCGGAGAAGCAGAACCAACGCACAGAGGAGAUUUAGGAUGAGGAAUCUGGUUUAUGUGACUCUGGGGGCUGAGAAGUCCCACCAUCUGUGUUGCAAGCUGGAAACCCAGGGAAGCCUGAGGUGUGAUUCAAACUCAGCUCAGGUCCGGAGGCCUGAGAACCAGGGCAGCCGAUGGUGGACAUCCAGUCCAGGAGCAAGAGAUGAUGAGAUGUCCCGGCUCCAGUGGCGAGGCAGGAAAUGAGGGGUGAACUCCUCCUCCCUCUGCUGUCUGUUCUAUUCAAGUUCUUGAGGGAUUGGAUUAUGCCCAGCCACUUAGGGAGGGCAGUCCACCUUCCUGAGUCCACAAUUCAAAUGCUGAUUUAAUCCAGAAACACUCUCACAGACACAGUGUGUAGUCUGGGCACCCCACAGUGCACUUAAGUGGACACAUAAAAUUAACCAUCCCAGGGAGUGAGAUGGGUAAGGGAAGAUGGGCCACAGUGGGUGUGUCUCCAUGCCUACCACCACUGUGGGCAGCUGCUGGAGCACACGCCUCAAAGUCUUCCCUUAGGGAGAGGGAGCUGAGGUGUUUAUAUCCCAGCUCUGUCAGGCAUUGGCUGAAUGUCCACACUCCUGGAUCACCGCCUCUCAUCCUCAUGAUGUCCCCUGGUCCUCAUUUCACAAGUGAGCUCUGGGUACAUGGGGAGCAUCAGUCACACCCUGGGUCAGCACCUCAGCUGUCUCUCACAUGACAUCCUCAUUAUCCACACUGCAAAGCCAACCAUGCCUACGAUGGGUUCAUUGUGGAUCAUGACUUAGUGGGUCAAGAGUUUGGAAGUGGCUCAGCUGGGCGGUUCUUCUGCUCCAUGUGGCUGCCAGAUGGUACCCUGCUGGUGGGCAGUCUGGUCUAGAGGGUCCAUGAUGGCUUUACUCACAUGCCUGGCAUCUUGACAGGGACAGCUGGAAGGCAAGGUUCAGCUGGGACUGUCCACAGAGCUCCUCCCUGUGGCCUUUCCAGCAUGGUGGUCUCAGGGUAGCUGGACUUCUUGCAUGACAGCUCAGGGCUCGCAGAGCUACUGUCCCAAGAGACAGAAGGUGGAAACUGCCAGUCUCUUAGGCUAGGACCAGAAACCAGCACCCCUGCACCCACAGCCUUUUUUGGUAGUGAUGAAAUAAACAUAACAUUUAUCAUUUUAAUCAUUCGUAAGUGGGAUUAAAUACAUUUACAAUAUUGUGUAACCAUCGGCACUGUCUAUAUCUAAAACUUUUCCAUCAUCUGCAAUAAAAACUCUGUAUGCA